AUGAUGUGACAGUUUAGCUAUAAUAGUAAGCAAUAUCUGCAUUGUGCUCUUUAAAACACUAAAUAUAUGGAAUCAGUCCUCUAUCCGAGGACAAUAUAUUAGAUUGAUUUUUGGAGCAGGGAGAUGGAAUAGGAGCUUGCUCUGUCCACUCCAUGCAUUGACCUGGUAUUGCAGUACUUCCAGGAAUGGUGCACCCCCU